rnacentral:rRNA from 1 species
AGUGAACGCUGGCGGUAGGCCUAACACAUGCAAGUCGAACGGCAGCACAGUAAGAGCUUGCUCUUACGGGUGGCGAGUUGCGGACGGGUGAGGAAUACAUCGGAAUCUACUUUUUCGUGGGGGAUAACGUAGGGAAACUUACGCUAAUACCGCAUACGACCUACGGGUGAAAGCAGGGGAUCUUCGGACCUUGCGCGAUUGAAUGAGCCGAUGUCGGAUUAGCUAGUUGGCGGGGUAAAGGCCCACCAAGGCGACGAUCCGUAGCUGGUCUGAGAGGAUGAUCAGCCACACUGGAACUGAGACACGGUCCAGACUACUACGGGAGGCAGCAGUGGGGAAUAUUGGACAAUGGGCGCAAGCCUGAUCCAGCCAUACCGCGUGGGUGAAGAAGGCCUUCGGGUUGUAAAGCCCUUUUGUUGGGAAAGAAAAGCAGCAGGUUAAUACCCCGCUGUUCUGACGGUACCCAAAGAAUAAGCACCGGCUAAAUUCGUG